rnacentral:rRNA from 1 species
CAACAGUUGGAAACGACUGCUAAUACCGCAUGACACUUUUGGGGGACAUCCCUUAAAAGUCAAAGCUUUAUGUGCUGAAAGAUGGCCUCGCGUCUGAUUAGCUGGUUGGUGAGGUAACGGCUCACCAAGGCGACGAUCAGUAGCCGGUCUGAGAGGAUGAACGGCCACAUUGGGACUGAGAUACGGCCCAGACUCCUACGGGAGGCAGCAGUGGGGAAUAUUGGGCAAUGGGGGAAACCCUGACCCAGCAACGCCGCGUGAAGGAAGAAGGCCUUCGGGUUGUAAACUUCUUUUACCAGGGACGAAGGACGUGACGGUACCUGGAGAAAAAGCAACGGCUAACUACGUGCCAGCAGCCGCGGUAAUACGUAGGUUGCAAGCGUUGUCCGGAUUUACUGGGUGUAAAGGGCGUGUAGGCGGAGAUGCAAGUUGGGAGUGAAAUCCAUGGGCUCAACCCAUGAACUGCUCUCAAAACUGUAUCCCUUGAGUAUCGGAGAGGCAAGCGGAAUUCCUAGUGUAGCGGUGAAAUGCGUAGAUAUUAGGAGGAACACCAGUGGCGAAGGCGGCUUGCUGGACGACAACUGACGCUGAGGCGCGAAAGCGUGGGGAGCAAACAGGAUUAGAUACCCUGGUAGUCCACGCUGU